GGCUCGGCUUCGCGCAGCGAUGCUGAAGUGAACCGGGUCAGGCCAGGAAUGGAGCAGCUCUAAGCAUCAUUCAUCGGGUGCCGCGAAUGUUCGGGUCUCC
rnacentral:SRP_RNA from 2 species